GGCGGUGGAAAGUUUUUCGGUCGGGGAUGGGCUCGCGGCCUAUCAGCUUGUUGGUGGGUAGUGGCCUACCAAGGCGACGACGGGUAGCCGGCCUGAGAGGGCGACCGGCCACACUGGGACUGAGACACGGCCAGACUCCUACGGGAGGCAGCAGUGGGGAAUAUUGCGCAAUGGGCGAAAGCCUGACGCAGCGACGCCGCGUGGGGGAUGACGGCCUUCGGGUUGUAAACCUCUUUCAGCAGGGACGAAGUUGACGUGUACCUGCAGAAGAAGCGCCGGCUAACUACGUGCCAGCAGCCGCGGUAAUACGUAGGGCGCCAGCGUUGUCCGGAAUUAUUGGGCGUAAAGAGCUCGUAGGUGGCUUGUCGCGUCGGGUGUGAAAGCUUGGGGCUUAACUCCAGGUCUGCAUUCGAUACGGGCUGGCUAGAGGUAGGUAGGGGAGAACGGAAUUCCUGGUGUAGCGGUGAAAUGCGCAGAUAUCAGGAGGAACACCGGUGGCGAAGGCGGUUCUCUGGGCCUUACCUGACGCUGAGGAGCGAAAGCGUGGGGAGCGAACAGGAUUAGAUACCCUGGUAGUCCACGCUGUAAACGUUGGGCGCUAGGUGUGGGGACCUUCCACGGUUUCCGCGCCGUAGCUAACGCAUUAAGCGCCCCGCCUGGGGAGUACGGCCGCAAGGCUAAAACUCAAAGGAAUUGACGGGGGCCCGCACAAGCGGCGGAGCAUGUUGCUUAAUUCGACGCAACGCGAAGAACCUUACCAAGGCUUGACAUCGCCCGGAAAGCUCUGGAGACAGAGCCCUCUUCGGACUGGGUGACAGGUGGUGCAUGGCUGUCGUCAGCUCGUGUCGUGAGAUGUUGGGUUAAGUCCCGCAACGAGCGCAACCCUUGUUCCAUGUUGCCAGCACGCCCUUCGGGGUGGUGGGGACUCAUGGGAGACUGCCGGGGUCAACUCGGAGGAAGGUGGGGAUGACGUCAAGUCAUCAUGCCCCUUAUGUCUUGGGCUGCAAACAUGCUACAAUGGCCGGUACAGAGGGUUGCGAUACCGUGAGGUGGAGCGAAUCCCUAAAAGCCGGUCUCAGUUCGGAUUGGGGUCUGCAACUCGACCCCAUGAAGUCGGAGUCGCUAGUAAUCGCAGAUCAGCAAUGCUGCGGUGAAUACGUUCCCGGGCCUUGUACACACCGCCCGUCACGUCACGAAAGUCGGCAACUCGCACGAAGACUCCGUGGCCC
rnacentral:rRNA from 1 species